UCUGUCUGUCUAUGAGAGCCAGCUGUCAAUCACUCACGAACUCCGAUCAAACGGUCAAACUAGGCAGCGCUGAUCAAAUGUGAAUCAACAUUCUGUUACCUUAAUGUCUAAUUCUUGCCUCAAAUGUUUUCAGAAACAUCUUGUAGUGUACUGUUUAGCUGUAAAAUGAGAAAGUUUGC